rnacentral:misc_RNA from 1 species
ACGAAGUUUUGUCUGAAAAGACAUUCUUUCAACUAAACACCUGUGAAUUAUUUACAUCAUUUUGCUUUGGUCAAAUUUAUUUGGCCAAAAGUUUAAAUUAAAACCUUUUAUUUUAACCUUGAUAGUCUGAAAUUGAAAAUAUUUUAAUUAUUUA